UUUGGAAAAUGAUGACAAAGAUUGAAACAGAGGCGCUAGCGCUGCUGAAUUAUUAUUUGCACGUCAGUCUGAUCCCAAA
rfam:Glycine max cultivar Williams 82 chromosome 8, whole genome shotgun sequence.